CCACGCUGCUCCCCGUGUGACGCAAAUCCGCGCGUGGGUGGACACACCGGGCGUGGGAGGCUUUCUGCACGGAAUACCAAACACGAGCAGGUUACACGCCCACAGACACGAAAGGACUUUUGCAAGCCGACACGCACAAAACAGCAUCUCCAGUUCUUUUAAAUAAGGCCCAUAAGUGAACAUGGGAGUUGCCUUUCAAAGGUGAAGGGGCAUCAGCCAGCCGAAAGGAUUCGCAAACGAUGUGGAAUGCGCAACAUUUCUGCUCCACAGGCGUCUGCAGUGUGAAAAUCCGCCUUGACUCAAAGUGGAAAGUGCAAAUGACCAUGGUGAACACAGAGCAGCCUGGAGAUGAGUCACACCCAGGCAACCCAGGGCCCCGAGCUGAAGAGACGGUUGACACUCCCAAGGAAAACCAAGGCCACGACAGUUGCAGUCAAAGCAAAAUACUAUAUACUUCUAUGUUGGUAGCAGGGUGGACGUGGCCAAAACAACAAAUAAAACAAUCCAUUUUCUUAAUUCCUAAAUAAAAAAAAUAUGAAAAUCAAACUCAGGUCCCUUAUCUGACACCAUACAACCAAACCGGAGAAAAACAUUGAAAACUAAAUGAUUGGCAAUUGCCUGGGACCCCAAGACUUCCAGGGCUCCCCAAAAGUGAUUAAGAUUUUUUUGUUCAGUUCAAAACAAUUAUUAUUGUUUUAGUCUGAAUUCACAUGAUUAAAAACAUCAAAAUGCAUAAGAUGUCACAAUUGUUUCAAAUAGUUACCCCCUCCCUUUUCAUGCAGCGGACAAUUGCACUAGGAAAACAAACUUGUUGACAUGUUGUGAGGACAAUAAAACAAAGUUAGAAACGAUGAGUGGAGAAGAGAAGGCAAAAGGAAAACAGAUUUUUAAAUCAAAACGACCAAAGGUUUCAAACCUUUUCACAGUGAAUGCGCGUAACCGACAACUCUUGCAAGUAGCAGUGACACUGCUGUCAGUGACGGCCAAGGAGGAUGCAGCAGACAUGAAGUGGAGAGUGACAGAAAGUCAAAGAUAAUUCACCAAGAUGUUAAUUUGAAUGUCAGAGCUCCCACUGUGCUGACCCAGCAGGCUGCGGGGGCCCGAGGGGGCCCAGAGGGACACCACGCCAGGCGGGGCCCAACUGGCCUGCCUGCUUGGCUACGGGCUACCCACGAAGAGCCUGACAGGCAGUCUGGAUGCCCUGUGACUCCAUGCUGCCACAGGUAGCCCACUUGGACAGACAACUUGUUUGAGCGAGGAAAGUUGGCUGGAGAGAUAUAGUUGAGUGUGUGGAACGCUCCCAUUUUAAAAAUGGGUUAGGAUGUUUAAAAUUGCUGUGUAUCCAUAUUCCAAAUCUUUUGAGUACCUUGAAGGUAGGAAGAUGUAUUUAUAUAUAUAUAUAUAUAUAUAUUUUUAAUUUAAGCUAAUUUAACAUUCUGGGACAAAGCCAUCAAGCUUUGUAGCUGGUUGAUGAAAAUGUAAAAUGUUCUCUUGUGAUCAUGUUUCAUGCAUGUAAUUUCCAAACGUGAUUAUGUUAACAGAAUGGCUGCAAAGAUGCUUGUAAUGUGCUUAAUAUUUUAAGAUGAAAUACAACAUGGAACAUGCUGAGAAAUGUGAAAGCGCCACUAAUCAUCCAGAGCGUAACCCUUCACACCAAAGGACAACUGUGGAUCCCGUGAUUUGAAAUCAUUGAUUCAACAAGUUUUAUCGAUUAACAUCUGAUGAUGGAGCUCAUGAUUCAUAUGUGGUUGCCCAGGUAAUGUCCUCGCUCUCCUGGGACUUCAUCAUGGCAAUAAUAGAAACUAUACAGUAAACAAUAAGGUCACAAACGGCGCUUCAAAUACUGAUCCAGUAACCAUAGACUCCGCAAAAGGGCAGGCAACCCAGACUGCAACCAAGGCAGGGCCGGAGUCAGGAAUUUUUCAGUGGUGUGGCCCAAAAUUUAGUUGGGGUGGGGGUGCUGAUCGAACUUUUUGCCCCUUUAAUGCCGAUCGUCAACCGGGGUACUGAUUGUAAUGUGACCAGAUUUUUUUCCACAAUGAUUGCCCACGCAUGAGGAGCAUAUAGCCGCUCUGCCCCUGAACCUAGGGCCCCAAUUUGAAGGGGACCGUAUCAAUGACGAAACAACGGCACCACCGGAGGCUGCAAUGAGAACAUGUCGGAAAGCUGUUGCUGGGUAGG